UUUACUUGUUACAGCAGCAAGACAAGUAAAGAGAACAGUGUAAAGAAAGCAUAGUGUCUACAACAUGGUUCAGGUGGUGCAGGUGUUGUAGAGCCUGACAGCGGUCGGUAUGAAGGACCUGCGGAACCUCUCCUUCUUACACCGUGGGUCUAACAGUCUGGUGCUGAAGGAGCUGCCCAGGGAAACAACAGUGUCAUGUAGCGGGUGAGAGGUGUUGUUCAUGAUGGAUGUCAGCUUAGCCAACAAUUGGAUGCUAAGUGCUAUGAUCUUCUGGCAAGCCACGCUAUUAUUGCUGCCUUAUUACAUUUGGGUCCAUGAUUGUGCUUUAGAGCUCCUUAUAAAAAAAAAAAAGUCUGCUACGGUAUUUUACAACAGCUAAGUAUCCCAAAUUAGUCACUUAUUUUGUUAUUUGUUUUUAUUGCAAUUGCGAAAGUGAUGAUAUUGCCAAAGAAUACAAAAGCUGGCACACAAAAGCUUCGCAAUUAGAGCAAUCUCAUCAAACGAGAUAAGAAGCUUUGGUGCCGCUGCCUGCUCCACAUUAAUUUAGCUUCCUUCAGUGAAAAAUGUGUUUAUCUUGCUCUUUGUUUACAAUGUGGAGUGGCGCACAUUCUGUCUGUGAGCCUUUAAAAAUGAUUUGUAUUGUCAGAUACAUGAGUUGUCCAUUUGAUCAAAUUGUGAACUCUGGAUUACUCCUUAUUGACUUCCGGAAAUCUCCUAACGCAAAGUGCCACAAAUACAGCCACUCGUUCACUCACCCCAGGACGUUUCCAUUGUACAAUACCAGGUGGUGCUUUCCGAAAAUACAGGGAUGAAUCUGUGGCUGGAAACUCUGAAUCCUCAAAGAGUUUUUUACUCUUGAUGCAGUCCUUCUUGAGCUCAGCGUAAUGCUGGUUCUUGUAGGGGGUCGCAGAGGAGAACAUGGUCCACUGCUAGAAGACUCGCAACUGCAAAGAUGGGCGAUGGACACGUUUGCGUUUAUUUGGAAUGCAUUUCCACUCGGCAACUGUCCUGAAACUUACCUGCGUUCUACUGCUGAUUACUAAAGAACGGAAAAAGGUCACAUUCACCAGUUGAUGCCAUAACAUGAGGAUACAUGAGGACCACGCCCCAUACAAGCCUACAUUGAAUUGUGGGUGAAAUGAAAUGAGCAAAGACUGCAGGUUAAGGCAAUGGAUUUGAGGUUAAGCGGCAUAGAAGAUGGAUGGCAAUGGAUUUGGCUGUCAAGACAAGGAGACAUGGCUGCUUAGAGUAGGACUACUGCCACUGAAGGACACAGCUCACCGAAAGAGAGAGAGCCGACGUUUUAACGGAAUUAGGAUGCUGUUCAAUUCUGAUACGGAUUCACAGAGCGUUGGAUUGUUCACCCACUAAUAGGGAACGUGAGCUGGGAUUAGACCGUCGUGACACAGGUUAGUUUCACCCUGUUGAUGUGAUGUGUGAAACUUUUUUUUGUUGUGGUUUUAAAAUCUGUGUAACGUCUUUCUGUGCACCAAAUUUUUACAUUUUUCUAUAUUUCUGAGAUAUGAGCAUGGUUGCUGUGUGAUAAGUUUAAUGUUGGCAAGAUGACACCGUGAGUCAAACGGUUAUAUUGAGUGAUGACCUCCUGCAAUUUCC